rnacentral:rRNA from 1 species
UACCAGCACCCCGAGUGGUCGGGACGAUUAUUGGGCCUAAAGCAUCCGUAGCCGGUUCUACAAGUCUUCCGUUAAAUCCACCUGCUUAACAGAUGGGCUGCGGAGGAUACUAUAGAGCUAGGAGGCGGGAGAGGCAAGCGGUACUUAGUGGGUAGGGGUAAAAUCCGUUGAUCCAUUGAAGACCACCAGUGGCGAAGGCGGCUUGCCAGAACGCACUCGGACGGUGAGGGAUGAAAGCUGGGGGGAGCAAACCGGG